rnacentral:lncRNA from 1 species
CCUUCAAUAUAUUAACAAACUCCAAACCAAGCUUUGUACAAUAGCCAUAACCCUUGAGCUAGAAAAAUUGAAAUCAAAUAACAGCCUCGGGACCGAAAACGCAACUAGAACCUCGACUGGAAACCUUCUAACUUGAAUGGAAUUUCAUGAUAGCUCUGGCGAUAUUUCGAGCUUCGUUCAUGGUUGUUCUUUAACAAAGUUUGGGGCUGAUUUUUGGAGCUCAUGUUGCUGGUAUUUACACAGCUGGAACAGAUUAUUUGCAGCUUGUUUAAGGAUGGUUUUGAGGGCAGAUUUGGGAGGCGAACAGCUGCAUUUUUUUUUGCAACGAUUUGGGGCUGAUUUAAGGCGAUUUUCGGCUGGAAAAGAGAAAGCAUCUUGGAACUGUCUUGCAGCUGAUUUUCCCCACUUUUCUGGGCUGUUUUCGUAGCUAUUUCAGCUGGGUUUCAGUGGGUUUAUGGCUGUAAUUUUAUGGUGAAAAGGAGGCAGUUUUUUAGCUGAUUUGUGGCUGAUUUUCCAGCAGCAAUUCAACUGUUUCGGAGUUGGUUUUUGGGCAUUUUUCCAGCUAAGCUUGCUGCAAAUUUUUGCUCGAGUUUUGGUGGCUAAAGGUGACCAUACAUGGCGAAAAUAGAGGAAAGGAUGGAUGGUUUUUUUGACGAAGGAGGAGACUGCAUCACUUUUUCAAUUUCUCCCCAUAUCUCCUCUUUCUGUAGUGUCCUUUUUUUGUUUUUCAAAUGAGAAUCCCCUUU